rnacentral:rRNA from 1 species
UACGGGGGGAGCAAGCGUUGUUCGGAUUUACUGGGCGUAAAGGGCGCGUAGGCGGCCACCGCAAGUCAAUUGUGAAAUCUCCGGGCUUAACUCGGAAAGGUCAACUGAUACUGCGGGGCUAGAGUGCGGAAGGGGCAACUGGAAUUCUCGGUGUAGCGGUGAAAUGCGUAGAUAUCGAGAGGAACACCUGCGGCGAAGGCGGGUUGCUGGGCCGACACUGACGCUGAUGCGCGAAAGCUAGGGGAGCGAACGGG